AAUUGGAGGGCAAGUCUGGUGCCAGCAGCCGCGGUAAUUCCAGCUCCAAUAGCGUAUAUUAAAGUUGUUGCAGUUAAAAAGCUCGUAGUUGAAUUUCGGGAUUGACACAUCGGUCGUGCCUUAAGGGGUAUGAACUGGUGUAGUCAAUUUCUCACCUUCUGGAGAACCGCGAUGCCCUUAAUUGGGUGUCACGGGGAACCAGGACCCUUACUUUGAAAAAAUUAGAGUGUUUAAAGCAGGCAUUUUGCUUGAAUACAUUAGCAUGGAAUAAUAAAAUAGGACGGCAUGAUUCUAUUUUGUUGGUUUCUAGGAUCACCGUAAUGAUUAAUAGGGAUAGUUGGGGGCAUUAGUAUUCAAUUGUCAGAGGUGAAAUUCUUGGAUUUAUUGAAGACUAACUACUGCGAAAGCAUUUGCCAAGGAUGUUUUCAUUAAUCAAGAACGAAAGUUAGGGGAUCGAAGACGAUCAGAUACCGUCGUAGUCUUAACCAUAAACUAUGCCGACUAGGAAUCAGACGAUGUUAAUUUUUUAAUGACUCGUUUGGCACCUUACGGGAAACCAAAGUGU
rnacentral:rRNA from 1 species